rnacentral:tRNA from 1 species
GCAGCCGUAGCUCAGUUGGAUAGAGCGCCUGACUGUGGAUCAGGAGGCCGGUGGUUCAAGUCCACCCGGCUGUA